rnacentral:rRNA from 1 species
UACGUAGGGUGCAAGCGUUAAUCGGAAUUACUGGGCGUAAAGCGUGCGCAGGCGGUUUUGUAAGUUUGUCGUGAAAGCCCCGGGCUCAACCUGGGAAUUGCGAUGAAGACUGCAAGGCUUGAAUCUGGCAGAGGGGGGUAGAAUUCCACGUGUAGCAGUGAAAUGCGUAGAGAUGUGGAGGAACACCGAUGGCGAAGGCAGCCCCCUGGGUCAAGAUUGACGCUCAUGCACGAAAGCGUGGGGAGCGAACGGG